UGGCCUGUGUUAUUACUGCGUGCGUGCACUCUUCACCUUGUCAUCUGCAAACUACUCUGCCUCCGUGGUGCUCUCUGUCGAUCACAUUGGUGAGUGGAUGCCGGGCACCAGCAUGUGGUCUCACUUUGUCACAGGACAGCAACAGCCAUCGAAGGCAAAUGAUGGAUUUUCUUUGGAGCAUCUCUUCGAUGCAAAAUGGAAAUGAUUGGAAAACAGCCCUUGAGAGUGGAGCAGCAGGGAGCCUCCUCAGGGUGGCGGUGAUUUGCCUGGCACACAGGGGUGGGCUCACCCCAUUGUCUCUUAGAAAUGGUCAUUUUCAUUCAGAUGGCCACCCUCUGCUCUGCGCUGAGACUGUUCGAAUGAAGAAAAAGGACCGGGACCCAAGAGCCGAACAUAGCCAGCUGGACUGCACACCCAGACAGCCUGUCUUAGUUAAGACUCUGAUGUGGAGUAUGCACUCCAUCUGCCUUUUGAAUCAAACCACGGGCUUCAGCCUCCAAUAGGGGAACAGCUUGUGUUGGCAAACCCUUCUGUGGGCAACAAUGAUAAACACUGGAUUACAAAGAAAAGAAGACAUCGGAGGACACUGGGAGGGAAGGAGGGUGGUCCCAGGGAGGCCAUGAGCUAAAAGGACCCUCCUAUUCUAAGACCCUGCUCAUCCACCCUUCCAUGAACACCUAUGUUUGCCAACUGUGUCACAGACGGAGCCAAACCAUAAAGCUACACUCAGAGGAUGGGGAUAACCCUGAAAUAGAAAUAAAAAUAGAAAGGAGAGGUCCAGAUCCUCCGCUGACCCCGGAACUGUGUGCUUAUGAACAAGAUGUUGUAUAAUCCAAGUGAGAGUAUGUGCAGUACAUAGGGGAAGUCCAAGGAUUACUUUCCAAGUAUGUUGGUGAGCAUCUGUCACUGCAGGAAAAUACCUGAGCUUUACAAAGAGAAAUGGCUUGUCAAGGCUCAUAGCUUGAGAGGUUCUAGUCCUGGGUCAGCUGACCCUGUUGCUUUCUGAUCUAUGACAUGGCAGCAUGUUAUGGUUGGAAUACAUGGUGUAACAUGUGGCAGAAGCUGCUAUCCCCUUCCUUCUGGGCAGUAGUGGAAGGACAAAGGUCUUCAAGAGUACCUCUCCAAUGACCUACAGACCUCUCUCAUGAGGCCACUCCUCUUAAAGAUCUCACUAGCUCCCAACAUGCUGCUCCAUCCAUUCAAGGUGACAGCAGAGGGGAUACAACUCAAGGUUGGAUGGACAAGGACUCAAACAAGCUGUGUCUGACACUACAUCUUCUGGGGUCUGGGGGAGGACAACAGACCAGAUCUGUCAGCGAACCUGUUGACACCUUAGUUUUUUGGGUUUUUUUGUUUGUUUGUUUGUUUUUUGUCUUAGCUUAAAUCAGUAGGGAAACUACCCAGGAGAGAAUAAAAUUCUAAACCGAUUAAGACCAACUGUCUUUGAACAGGCAGGGUGAGUCGGGAGGGUAAGAGCUAUAGUAGUUAAUCUUUA